GACGAACGCUGGCGGCGCGCUUAACACAUGCAAGUCGAACGGAAAGGCCUGCUUUCCCUUGUGGAUUGCGGGUACUCGAGUGGCGAACGGGUGAGUAACACGUGAGUGAUCUGCCCCCAACUUGUGUAUAAGCCUGGGAAACUGCGUCUAAUUCCCUAUAGGACUGCAGGGUGGUGCCUGUGGUGGCAAACGAUGUUCUAGUGGUUGGGGAUGAGCUGGCGGCCUAUCAGCUUGUUGGUGGGGUAAUGGCCUACCAAGGCGGCGACGGGUAGCCGGCCUGGGAUGGUCGACGGCCAAAUUUGGACUGCGAUACGGCCCAGACGACUACGGGAGGCAGCAGUGGGGAGUAUUGCACAAUGGGCGGAAGCCUGAUGCAGCGAGGCCGCGUGGGGGAUGACGGCUUUGGGAUGGUAAACUCCUUGCGACCGCGAGGAAGCCACCGGGAUGGAAGGGUGGUGACGGUAGUGGUAGAAGAAGCACCGGCUAACUACGUG
rnacentral:rRNA from 1 species